ensembl:misc_RNA Metazoa_SRP Metazoan signal recognition particle RNA
GCUGGGCCUGGUGGUGCAGGCCUGUAAUCCCAGCUACCCAGGAGGCUGAGGCAGGAGAAUCACUUGAACUCAGGAGGCAGAGGCUGUAGUGAGCUAAAAUCAAGCCACUGCACUCCAGCCUGGGUGACAGAGUGAGAUUCCAUCUCAG